CCUGAGUCAUCGCCCUUUCCUCCCGCUCCGGGAGGCAACGCGCCGCCGGAGCCCAACGCCAAAGCCAGGCUUCCCCAGGAGCCCGAGUCCUGCUCCCCCGUCUCCUUUCCAGGAAAUCCAAAUAUUUCCCCCUCCACCCCAGGUAAUCCUAAAAUGAAGCCAAAAGGGGCUGAGAGGAACUAUGGGACCACACAGCAUCCGUGCAAAGCAGGCCCAUAGAGUAAGCAGAAAAUCAUCCCGUGCUGCAGAUGUUUUUGCAUGCUCCUCCUCUGCAAAUAUACCUGCAUCCAAGGUCUGGGCUGCGGCUUCUCUGUGCCAAGAGUAGUCCACAAACAGCACCCGCUGCCCUUCUGUACUGAGACUGAAUGCCCUGAAAUAAGCAACCAACAAAAAUAGGGGAAGAGAAAAAGAAGCAGCCUGAUCAGAGGGAAUGUCAGCUGAUAAAGUAACAAAUCUAUUUGCUAAUGUAACUUUUAUAACCCCUGAGAAACUCAGCCAAAAAUCAAGCAAUUCCCUUGCCUUGCUUUGGUGCCAAGUGACUUUCAAUCUGCACCAUCUAUAUUAGCUCGCAUGAAAGUCUCUUGCUACUGCUGUGUCGACAGAAGAAUUUUAAAGCCCAACUACCUUGCUGUUUUAAAUUUUAAUUACUGGUGCAUUUACUGGUGUGGCUGGCAGAAAGCACGAGCCUGCACGGCUUGCUUUUGUUCUUCAGUUUUCUUUAUUUGGAUGUUUUAAUAUUAUUUCUUUCUGCAACUGGUGACACUGAUGAUGGUCAUCUUUAUUUCAGCUGAAAUAUGCAUGUCUUCAAACCUGUUGGAGAGCCUUCAGACAGGCUGAGUGGCUUCUCCUCUUGGAUCCCCUGUGUGCCACCCGCCACAACCUGGUGUCACCACCCCAGCGGGAGGUGACGUGAGUUAUGGUUUGUCUGGUCAGGAGUAACCAUAUGUGGUCAGCAGGGAUGGAUUUAUAACCCCGUGCCUUCGGUCCUCAGUGCUUAACGGAGCUAAAAUACCUCACUGCAGCUGAUGUGAGAGUUGUCGUGGCCCCCUGCGUCCCACUGGAGACUCUUCCAGUCGGGUUUGGCCCCUUUUAUAUGGUGCUGGGCACAGCUU